rnacentral:rRNA from 1 species
UACAGGGGGGGCAAGCGUUGUCCGGAUUUACUGGGCGUAAAGGGCGUGCAGGCGGUUUGUUUAGUCUAGGGUGAAAGCUCCCGGCUUAACUGGGAGAGGUCCUUGGAUACUGGCAAACUUGAGGGAGGCAGAGGAAAGUGGAAUUCCCGGUGUAGUGGUGAUAUGCGUAGAUAUCGGGAGGAACACCAGUGGCGAAGGCGGCUUUCUGGGCCUUACCUGACGCUGAGACGCGAAAGCGUGGGGAGCGAACAGG